rnacentral:rRNA from 1 species
GAGUUUGAUCCUGGCUCAGGACGAACGCUGGCGGCGUGCCUAACACAUGCAAGUCGAACGGAGAUACGCGCUGAAUGGAUGGAGCUUGCUUUUGAAAUUCUUGUGUAUCUUAGUGGCGGACGGGUGAGUAACGCGUGAGCAACCUGCCUUUCAGAGGGGGAUAACGUUUGGAAACGAACGCUAAUACCGCAUGAGACCACGGUACUGCAUAGUACAGUGGCCAAAGGAGCAAUCCGCUGAAAGAUGGGCUCGCGUCCGAUUAGAUAGUUGGCGGGGUAACGGCCCACCAAGUCGACGAUCGGUAGCCGGACUGAGAGGUUGAACGGCCACAUUGGGACUGAGACACGGCCCAGACUCCUACGGGAGGCAGCAGUGAGGGAUAUUGGUCAAUGGGGGAAACCCUGAACCAGCAACGCCGCGUGAGGGAAGACGGUUUUCGGAUUGUAAACCUCUGUCCUCUGUGAAGAUAAUGACGGCAGCAGAGGAGGAAGCUCCGGCUAACUACGUGCCAGCAGCCGCGGUAAUACGUAGGGAGCGAGCGUUGUCCGGAUUUACUGGGUGUAAAGGGUGCGUAGGCGGCCCUGCAAGUCAGAAGUGAAAUCCAUGGGCUUAACCCGUGAACUGCUUUUGAAACUGCAGGACUUGAGUGGAGUAGAGGUA